rnacentral:lncRNA from 1 species
CAAGGAUCCCCAGCGAAAGGGAGCCAUAGUCCGAGGCUCUGGCUGCCUGCCUGUUUGGAGCUUUGAUGGCCUCGAGGCCCCCAGAUGAGACAGGAUUGUUCCCUUCAUCUUAACCCCCUUCGUGGGCGGGAACUGGAGCAGCUCAUUUCACUCAGCUCGCCUCCUGCCACUCCUGGCGGCAGAGCGUGCGAGUGCGGGAACCGGAGCGACCGAAUGCUGGAACCGGCCGGUCACUCCUCUCUGGCGGGAAUAGGCUCUGUGCGGGCCUCACAGCAGCGUCCAAGCCCUGGCCUCUCGGCACCGGGGUACCUGUCCGGCGUCCAGGAAGAAUUAGGUCAUAUGAACGGAUUGAAGAGUAGUGUAUGCGGAAGAUUUGAUUGAGUGGUGGCUCCUGGUGGGAUGGGUACUGGAAAGCAGACGGUGAAAGAGGGUCAUCUUUCCCUGAAGCCGCACCAUCUGAAGUUAGCUGCGUCUAUCUGUAGUCUUCAACACUCUUGCUGCUUCUCUGCUCACCGCUCAGCCGCUUGUGUUGCUCUGCCAGCUGAAGUCUUUUUUAUGGCCACAGGAUAGGGGCGUGGCAGGCCAAAAAAACAACAUUUGGGCAGAAAAACAGGGUCAGCUGUUUUCAAGGCCGUGAUUCCAGGCUUAAGGGUGGGGUUUAGCUGGGAACCCAGCCAUUCUGUAUCAGUGAUAGUUGCACAACUAUAAAUAUACUAACAACCAUUGAAUUGUGUACUUUAAGUAGAUUAACCGUAUGAUAUAUGAAUUACAUCUCAGUAAAGUUGUUUUUU